rnacentral:tRNA from 2 species
GCGGACGUGGUGAAAUCGGUAGACACAACAGACUUAAAAUCUGUCGGCCAUAGGUCAUGCGGGUUCAAGUCCCGCCGUCCGCA